GGACUACUGGGGUUUCUAAUCCUGUUUGCUCCCCACGCUUUCGCGCCUCAGCGUCAAUGUCGGUCCAGUGAGCCGCCUUCGCCACCGGUGUUCUUCCCAAUCUCUACGAAUUUCACCUCUACACUGGGAAUUCCACUCACCUCUACCGAAUUCAAGUCAAACAGUCUUGAAUGCAAUUCCAAGGUUGAGCCCUGGGCUUUCACAUCCAACUUGUCUAACCGCCUACGCGCCCUUUACGCCCAGUAAUUCCGAACAACGCUAGCUCCCUUCGUAUUACCGCGGCUGCUGGCAC
rnacentral:rRNA from 1 species